rnacentral:rRNA from 1 species
UCCAGACUCCUACGGGAGGCAGCAGUGGGGAAUAUUGCACAAUGGGCGCAAGCCUGAUGCAGCCAUGCCGCGUGUAUGAAGAAGGCCUUCGGGUUGUAAAGUACUUUCAGCGGGGAGGAAGGGAGUAAAGUUAAUACCUUUGCUCAUUGACGUUACCCGCAGAAGAAGCACCGGCUAACUCCGUGCCAGCAGCCGCGGUAAUACGGAGGGUGCAAGCGUUAAUCGGAAUUACUGGGCGUAAAGCGCACGCAGGCGGUUUGUUAAGUCAGAUGUGAAAUCCCCGGGCUCAACCUGGGAACUGCAUCUGAUACUGGCAAGCUUGAGUCUCGUAGAGGGGGGUAGAAUUCCAGGUGUAGCGGUGAAAU